CCCUAUCGUCUAGAGGCCUAGGACAUCGCCCUUUCACGGCGGUAACCGGGGUUCGAAUCCCCGUAGGGACGCCA
rnacentral:tRNA from 2 species